UCGAGGAUCCAACUCUCGUCCAUUCCUGGCCUUUACCCUAACACCGACCCGAGAAACGGCCCUCCAAGCACAACGACGAGCGCACAUGGGUGACAACGCAAGGCAGCGCGACGGCGGGGCUGCGGCUACUGCAUAGACGAGCGGUGGCUGCUGCCGCUGCACAGAUCUGGCCCUCCCUCGCGCAAACUCCGUUCCGCGUGGCUCCCUCGCCUCCCAACGUUCCGUGCGGCUCCCCCGCCUCUGGCCAAAUCCAACAACGACAUCGACAUAGUGGUCUCCCACUCUCCCAUUCGAUUCAGUGGCUAUCUUCUCACCGGUAGUCGCAUCACCCUCCCUACCUUUCCUUUUUUUUUUUCCUUAUGUUCCAGUUCUAAGGUUCUUGAUUUGUGCCGGUUCUAGGUUUGAAGAUUAUGCGUCAUCGAACACCUGUUCUGUUAGACUAGCUUGUGCCGGCGCUGUCCGGUGUUAGGCCUGCCGCCGGCUACAAGAUUCGUGUCAAUUUCUGCGCAAGCUUGUGCACACUGAAAAUCGGUGGAUUCGCGUCAGAUUUUGUACAAGCUUCUGCACAGGCCUCUGAACCUGAGCUGUCACCAACCAAAAUGUUGUUCCACCACUACAACUGUGGAUUGAUGUCGAUCAAACAAGAACUGAGCCAUGUCGUCCUUUGCGAGGGAGCCUAGGUUUACAAGUUCGAAGUAGGCAGACAAGUAAGGUUGCUGCCUGCUUGUUGUAGUGACGCAUUAGGGCCUUGUCAAGUUGAAACCGUGCUUGUACAAGCGGCGAUGAGCUGAUCAUCUCAUAUCCACUAGUAAUACUGCAGUUGUAGUACAACUCUUUAAAAGUUUAUUGGUCAAGCUGAAGUGCAUUGUCAGGUCCCUUCAUCUGUAUGCCAAGCUGCUAUUCCAUUCCUUUUCCACAUUAGCUGCGUCUUUCAUGUGUUGGACCUCGAUAAGAAGAAAAGAUCAGCUAGGGGCUAGGGACGAUGCAUGCGUUUGUAUGGAAGCAGAUCAUGUAUAUAUAUAAUUCAAUUCAAUGGUCCACAUGCUGCAAGUCCUGCGUAUGCUGGUCCAUCAAAGGAACACCUGAACCGUUUUAUUUUUCAAUCUUGAAUUCUCAAUGGCAUGGUAUGUCAGCUGCCACACCUCAACUUUUAAAACCUUUAUAUCUUCCUUUGUUAUUGCUAAUUAAGACGUAUGUGGUGCGGUGGUAUAUCUAGAUAGCUUGUUUUUCUUCUGUCCUCCACCACAGAAUAUGGAGCAGAAAUAAAUCUGUUUCAAUUGUCAGCUAACAAUUAGAGGUCCGUGCUACAAAAGCGG
rnacentral:lncRNA from 1 species